rnacentral:rRNA from 1 species
UACGGAGGGGGCAAGCGUUAUCCGGAAUCACUGGGGUUAAAGGGUGCGUAGGCGGCUAAAUAAGUCAGAGGUGAAAGCUUGGAGCUUAACUGCGGAAUUGCCUUUGAUACUGUAUAGCUUGAAAGGAGCGGAGGUGAGCAGAAUUUGGCAUGUAGCGGUGAAAUGCGUAGAUAUGCCAUAGAAUACCAAUUGCGAAGGCGGCUGGCUGGUCUAAUUUUGACGCUGAGGUGCGAAAGCGUGGGGAUCGAACAGG